UUAAAUUGAAGAGUUUGAUCAUGGCUCAGAUUGAACGCUGGCGGCAGGCCUAACACAUGCAAGUCGAACGGUAACAGGAAGCAGCUUGCUGCUUUGCUGACGAGUGGCGGACGGGUGAGUAAUGUCUGGGAAACUGCCUGAUGG
rnacentral:rRNA from 13 species